UUCUACAUCUGCUUCUGUAGAAUAAUGUUCUUACUAUUUGCAGAUAAAUAUAAUAAGAAUGUAAAAGGUUUCCAUAAGAGACCAAGUGUGUUUUGGUGUAUGCUUAUUUAGCUUAAGCCAUAACUAUAAGAUAGUUAGGGUCACAGUGGCCUCGAGUAAAGCACAUUGAGUAAUAAUAACAAAUGAAACAGGAGCAGAAUGUACCGCUUUGUGU